rnacentral:rRNA from 1 species
UAAAGUCUAAUGGAGGUAAAGCACUGAUUGGACGCGGGUCCCCAAAAGGAUACCAACUUCUAUCAAACUCAGAAUGCCAUAUAGAUAUACUCAGGAGUCAGACUAUGUGAGAUAAGUUUCAUAGUCAAAAGGGAAAGAGCCCAGACCGACAGCUAAGGUCCCAAAGUGUGUGUUAAGUGGAAAAGGAUGUUAGGUUUCUAAGACAACUAGGAUGUUGGCUCAGAAGCAGCCACUCAUUUAAAGAGUGCGUAACAGCUCACUAGUCGAGAGGUCUAGCGCCGAAAAUGUCCGGGGCUAAAACACACCACCGAAGCUACGGAAUUACCUAUGGUAAUUGGUAGAGGAGCAUUCUGUAAGGAUGAAGCACAAUUGAAAGAGAGUGUGGACGAAACAGAAGAGAGAAUGCCGGAAUGAGUAGCGAGAUAUAUGUGAGAAUCAUAUAGGUCGAAUGUCUAAGGUUUCCUGGGUAAAGCUGAUCUGCUCAGGGUAAGUCGGGACCUAAGGUGAGGGCGAGAGCCGUAAUCGAUGGACAACAGGUAGAAAUUCCUGUACUACGUAUAAUCAGAACUGUGGGGACGCAGGAGGAUAGGAAAACCGGAGAAUGGAAAAAUCCGGCUAAGUACAAAGGUGUGAGUGAUAGGCAAAUCCGUCACUAUUAGCUGAAGUACGAAUGGGAGCGAAGAAAAGUAGCGAAGUUUCUGAAUCCACACUGUCAAGAAAAGCCGCUAUUGCGUUAUACGUACCCGUACCGCAAACCGACACAGGUAGACGAGGAGAAAAUCCACAGACCGACGGGAGAAGUGUUGUUAAGGAACUCGGCAAAAUGACCCCGUAACUUAGGGAUAAGGGGAGCCAACGCAAGUUGGUCACAGAAAAGAGGCUCAAGCGACUGUUUAGCAAAAACAUAGGUCUAUGCGAAACCGUAAGGUGAUGUAUAUGGGCUGACACCUGCCCGGUGCUGGAAGGUCAAAAGGAGAGGUUAGCGUAAGCGAAGCUUUGAAUUUAAGCCCCAGUAAACGAAAUUCCUUGUCAGGUAAGUUCUGACCCGCACGAAAGGUGUAACGAUUUGAGCACUGUCUCGACAACACGCCCGGUGAAAUUGAAGAACCAGUGAAGAUACUGGUUACCCGCAACAGGACGGAAAGACCCCAUGGAGCUUUACUGCAGCUUAAUAUUGGGAUUCGGUAUUGUAUGUACAGGAUAGGAGGGAGACUAAGAAGCUAGCACGCCAGUGUUGGUGGAGUCGAUGGUGGGAUACCUCUCUUAUAAUACUGAAUUUCUAACCUACUUCCGUGAUCCGGAAGAGGGACAUUGUUAGGCGGGCAGUUUGACUGGGGCGGUCGCCUCCGAAAGAGUAACGGAGGCGCUCAAAGGUCUUCUCAGAAUGAUUGGAAACCAUUCAAAGAGUGUAAAGGCAAAAGAAGGCUUGACUGCGAGAGUGACAACUCGAGCAGGUACGAAAGUAGGACUUAGUGAUCCGGUGGUAACAAGUGGGAGUGCCAUCGCUUAACGGAUAAAAGCUACCCUGGGGAUAACAGGCUUAUCUCCCCCAAGAGUUCACAUCGACGGGGAGGUUUGGCACCUCGAUGUCGGCUCA